UCAAUACUCCCUUCGUCCCAAAAUACUUGUCUUAGAUUUGUCUAGAUAUGAAUGUAUCNNGUCACGUUUUAGUAUUUAGAUACAUCUAUUUUUAGACAAACUUAAGACAAGAAAUGUGGGACGCGGGGAGUAUAAG
rfam:Hordeum vulgare subsp. vulgare, WGS project CAJW01000000 data, contig: morex_contig_56346